CAUACCAGUAGAUUCGUCUCACUUCUCUGUCGGAGACUGUCCAUUAUUGUUAUUAUAGCACGUUAUUAAUUUUAGUUAUAUAUAACGAUUCCAAUUUUAGGUUGAUCAAACUUUUAUAUUGAACAUUAAUACUUUACAUAAAUUUUAUAUAGUUAAAUUUAGAAUAUUAUACUAGAUCGGUCAAGGUGGUAAGUUGUACCAAGGGGUACCAGCACUUUGAGAACUUGUAUACCAAGGGGUAGCAGCACACUGGCAACUUGUACCAAGUUGUACCAACUUGUAUAAAGUCUAUAAAGUUCGGGUCAUUGCGUGCCUGUUACGAAAGGCAAUACAACAUAUCUGCAUGCGCAUGAAACAUAUAGUGUUGAGACAAACUUCCUCGAGAGCGUGACUUUGUGAUAUUGCGAGCGAAGAGAAUCUAAGGGGCUGUUUAUAUGGAAGCGAGCCAGCCCGGGUACCCGAGCUGGCUCGCAUCCCUGAGGUGAAUUUCACCACGCGUUUACAUCCAUAGUGGAAAGUUCGUAAUUUGCCCGCCGGAUAUAUGCGCCAGCAAACUUGCCCUAAAAAUUUUGUGCGCCAUGGGGGAUUGGUUCCGACAGAAAACAUUUUUUGUGCCCGCGAAUACCGCCUGCUACGCAGGCUAACAUUUUAUCACUCGCUCAACAAUCCGAUAACAGAUGCCUAUACUGGACAUAUAUAGAGGUCAUAUAUAGUUCAUCUUUUAUACCAUGAUAUAUAUAUAUCAGUGAUUUAUACAACUCUGGACGUUAGGAUAUAGCUGUAAAAUAAUGAAACUACAGUACGACUCUGACCUGCAUGCAUACAUUGUCCAUGACUUUUAGUUUAACUAGUUUACUUUCAUACUUUGUGUUUUGUUUGACACUGACUGACAUAAUGGACAUAAUGAAAUGUCCAUGUUCUUUGAAAUUAAAUCAGAUAAAGAUUAUAAUUAAUGAUGGUAAUAGAACGAAUAGGAGUGCUAUUAAUGCCAUAAUCAUACGAGUGAUUACAAAAUCAACCUCCCGCUACGCGGUCGGUUGAUUUGUUAAUCACGAGUAUAAUUAUGGCAUUAAUAUACAAGUAUGAUUAUGGCAUUAAUAAUGGCAUAAUCACGAGUAUGAUUAUGGCAUUAAUAUCGUUGUAUUACUUAUUAAUUAUUUAUUACAGAAGAUAAAUAAUUAAUCAUAUAUAAUGAAAUAACAAUUGAUAGACAAAUGCGGAUUAUUUUACAACAGAAACGGAAGUCGUGGAUCUUCGGUGCGAAGUCGUUUCAGCACUUUGCUUUCUUGGCUGUACUUUGCUCGACUGCCUAAUGUUGGUGUAGCAUGCUUUGGUAGGGAAAGCUCUUUGUCACCAUUGAUGAAUAUCUCGGCAAUUUCCUUAACCGCACGAUCACACUCCAAAAUUGGUGGCAUAGACCAAUCAAGCUUUGUC